UUCUUAGAUUAGUGGUUAGGCCUUGGUUCUCUCAUCGCUGCAGCCCGGGUUCGAUUCCCGGCCACGGAAC